rnacentral:rRNA from 1 species
GUCGAGCGGACAGAUGGGAGCUUGCUCCCUGAUGUUAGCGGCGGACGGGUGAGUAACACGUGGGUAACCUGCCUGUAAGACUGGGAUAACUCCGGGAAACCGGGGCUAAUACCGGAUGGUUGUCUGAACCGCAUGGUUCAGACAUAAAAGGUGGCUUCGGCUACCACUUACAGAUGGACCCGCGGCGCAUUAGCUAGUUGGUGAGGUAACGGCUCACCAAGGCGACGAUGCGUAGCCGACCUGAGAGGGUGAUCGGCCACACUGGGACUGAGACACGGCCCAGACUCCUACGGGAGGCAGCAGUAGGGAAUCUUCCGCAAUGGACGAAAGUCUGACGGAGCAACGCCGCGUGAGUGAUGAAGGUUUUCGGAUCGUAAAGCUCUGUUGUUAGGGAAGAACAAGUGCCGUUCAAAUAGGGCGGCACCUUGACGGUACCUAACCAGAAAGCCACGGCUAACUACGUGCCAGCAGCCGCGGUAAUACGUAGGUGGCAAGCGUUGUCCGGAAUUAUUGGGCGUAAAGGGCUCGCAGGCGGUUUCUUAAGUCUGAUGUGAAAGCCCCCGGCUCAACCGGGGAGGGUCAUUGGAAACUGGGGAACUUGAGUGCAGAAGAGGAGAGUGGAAUUCCACGUGUAGCGGUGAAAUGCGUAGAGAUGUGGAGGAACACCAGUGGCGAAGGCGACUCUCUGGUCUGUAACUGACGCUGAGGAGCGAAAGCGUGGGGAGCGAACAGGAUUAGAUACCCUGGUAGUCCACGCCGUAAACGAUGAGUGCUAAGUGUUAGGGGGUUUCCGCCCCUUAGUGCUGCAGCUAACGCAUUAAGCACUCCGCCUGGGGAGUACGGUCGCAAGACUGAAACUCAAAGGAAUUGACGGGGGCCCGCACAAGCGGUGGAGCAUGUGGUUUAAUUCGAAGC